rnacentral:ribozyme from 1 species
GAUUGGGGAGCUCUUACUUUAUUAGCCCAAGAUGAAGUUGGUGGUCUACAGGUUAAUGCAAAACCAGGUGUUUGGAUUGAUGCUCCUUCUAUUCCAAAUGCACUUCUUGUUAAUGUCGGCGACUUAAUGCAUCUGUGGACUCGUGGUCGACUCCGUUCAGCCCCACACCGUGUUCUCAAGCCAAAACUCACUGGU